AUUGAACGCUGCGGCAGGCCUAACACAUGCAAGUCGAGCGAGCGGCGGACGGGUGCGUAAUGCUUAGGAAUCUGCCUAUUAGUGGGGGACAACAUCUCGAAAGGGAUGCUAAUACCGCAUACUAAUAGAUGCGCCUAAGGCGGAUUAGCUAGUUGGUGGGGUAAAGGCCUACCAAGGCGUAGAACUGUAGCGGGGCUGGGAGGAUGAUCCGCCACACUGGGACUGGGGCAAGGGCCAGACUCCCUCGGGAGGCAGCAGUGGGGGAUAUUGGACAAAGGGGGGAACCCUGGUCGAGCCAUGCCGCGUGUGUGAAGGAGGCCUUAUGGUUGGAAAGCACUUUAAGCGAGGAGGCGUUACUCGCAGAAGAAGCACCGGCUAACUCUGUGCCAGCAGCCGCGGUAAUUC
rnacentral:rRNA from 1 species